GUACUUCUGAAGAGUCCCAAAAUAGGACGAAACAGCUGUCUAGUAC
rnacentral:hammerhead_ribozyme from 1 species